rnacentral:rRNA from 1 species
UACGUAGGUGGCGAGCGUUAUCCGGAAUUAUUGGGCGUAAAGAGCGCGCAGGUGGUUGAUUAAGUCUGAUGUGAAAGCCCACGGUUUAACCGUGGAGGGUCAUUGGAAACUGGUCGACUUGAGUGCAGAAGAGGGAAGCGGAAUUCCAUGUGUAGCGGUGAAAUGCGUAGAGAUAUGGAGGAACACCAGUGGCGAAGGCGGCUUCCUGGUCUGUAACUGACACUGAGGCGCGAAAGCGUGGGGAGCAAACAGGAUUAGAUACCCCUGUA